CCUGGAGCGGCUCGGGAGAGCGGAGGGUCGGCGAGGGUGCCUGCGCGCGGCUGGGCCUGGGGAUGCAGGUUCCAGCCUGCUUGCGCGUCUCACCUGAUUUAGGAGCUUCCAGAGGCCCCAGACAGUGCCUGUCUUUGCCUGACCGCGAAUCAAAGUUCCAUAGCCCGUGAGCGAAGGUUUUGGCAAUUAUGAAUCAAGCAAUUAUGAAUCAAACAACCCAGAAAUCCAACCACCCACUCCAGGCAUCUUUGCAUGAACGUAUCAAAAACACCUCAGUCCCAAUGCCCAGGAUCUUCCCCUUUGAGAGGCUGAGAUGGGUGGAUCACUUGAGCCCAGGAAUUGGAGACCAGCCUGGGCAAUAUGGUGAAACCCCAUCUCUACUAAAAUAAAUACAAAAAAUUAGCCAGGUGUGGUGGCACGUGCCUGUAGUCCCAGCUACUCAGGAGACUGAGGUGGGAGAAUCGCUUGAGCCAGGGAGAUCGAAGCUGCCG
rnacentral:lncRNA from 1 species